GAUGUAAAGAACCACACCCGGCCAAUUCCUAGAACACCAGUUGUUUACACAUGUGUAUAAAAGUGGUUGGAAGGAAAGAGUUGUUGUUGAAGAUGGCCUGAACAUACGUGAGGGACACCUCCAACCCGGAGCUCUGUAUCUAUUGAAUUAUUCAAUUGUAUUCAUUAAAUGGCUAAUACUUUUGCAUUGAAGAAAACCUCUCCUGACUCUUAUUGAACACGCAGGGAAAUGGCUAAUGCCAUUAAGAAAUCCCAGCAAUUGGUGACCUCCGACGUGGAGGGGGAGAGAACAUUGAUCUGUCCUGUUGCAUUGACAUCAAGGCAUGCCAAAACAUAAGGUCAUCAGUAUCCAGAACCAGGAGCAGCCUUGACAUGCACUGACAGUGCACCGCUGAUGAACAAGCCAUAUUAUGACAAAUUAACAGCUUUAAUCUCAGAUUUUUUUAAAACAGAUUUCUGUGAAAUGCCUGGAGGGGGCCUAAGAAAAAGUGGUGCCUACAUCUGAAUAGGUGUUGCUGAAGAUUCACCAAACUGGCAGCUGAGGAGUACAGAUGACGGCCAUGAGUAAAAUCAAGGCCGAGAGGGGGAGUGCGUAGCAAAGAACAACAUAAACAAAUGAUUGACCCGCUGCCCUCAUGCCAAGAGGGGACGUCUGACUAAAUAGGGAGUGCAAGCAUGUAUUGGGGUAGGAGCUGAACACGCAGUAAUCUCAAUACAUGGGAGCAACCUGAUAGUAGUGCAGGCCUACGGAUGA